AAAUGCAGGAAACUUUGCAACAGAAAGAAAAUGGACAGAAUAGACUUUUAUUUCUACCUGGCAGGAAGUGCAGGGAGGAAGUGAUGUCAUGAAGCAGAUACACCUGUGAGCUGCUGCUAAUGAAAGAAGCCUGGAGAACAAAGGAGAUGAGUGAGAGCACUGGGAGGAACCAGGAGAUUUCAGGAGGAACUUCCCAGAUUGUGGUCAGUUCUCUUCUAAAGUGUGAUAUAUUAAAGUAAAGUGAGCAGUCUGGAAUAAACGGAGUAGAUUUAGAAUCCAGAAGCAGCUUUUUCCUGCUCUUGAACCACCUGCUGGAUAUGAACUGAUCCCAGGACAGGAGAUUCCGCCUCUUCAGCUGUUGGGAUGUCUGCACCAUUUGUUGGACCCUGGUGGAGGUAAGUUCAGUGUUUUUUCUGUCCAAAUCUCCAGACUUUAGGCUGCAUAAUCCUCACAUUAGCCUCUCCUGCCCUCCUCAGCUCCUCACCUACACUAAUUUACACUCCUUUAAACUCCCACUCCUCACAUUAACUCACCCAAACCUUCAAACUGAACUGAAAUGAACCCAUCAUUUCUUGAAGACAUUAUUUGGAUUUUUUCCUUCUUUAAUUAAGAAGCUUUUAGUGUCACCAUCAGGACACUGAAAUAGAAUCUGUCUUUUCUGCUUCUGUUGACUAAAUGGACUUGUGUGUUUGAGAUGUUUUUGUGUUUGAUGUGUUUUUGUGUUUGAUGUGUUCUGAUUUGGUUUGUGUCUAACCAGGUGUAGAUAAUGACAUUUAACUGAUGGCUACAGUUCUUUCCUGUCUGGUGUGGUUCUCUAGAAACAAACAUGAAGCCAUCUAGUCCAUUUAGUGGGAGUUUAAAGUAGUUUCUGUCUGGUGAUGAACUCAGUUUGAACCUUUGAAAUGAUCUAUAGAAUAGCAUUACUUUUAAUCCGACAACUCAAUAAGGAAAGGAUGGUUUUAUCUUGCUGACAUGUUUCUGCUGCAUCUGCAGUCUUCUUCAGAGCGUCAGAGGAUGUGUUGAUGGCGUGUUGAUGGCGUGCUGAUGGCGUGUUGAUGACGUGUUGAUGGCAUGUUGAUGGCGUGUUGAUGACGUGUUGAUGGCGUGUUGAUGACAUGUGAUGGCGUGGGAUGGCGUGUUGAUGUGUGUUGAUGACGUGUUGAUGGCGUGUUGAUGGCGUGUUGAUUGCGUGUUGAUGGCGUGUUGAUGACGUGUUGAUGGCAUGUUGAUGGCGUGUUGAUGACGUGUUGAUGGCGUGUUGAUGACAUGUGAUGGCGUGGGAUGGCGUGUUGAUGUGUGUUGAUGACGUGUUGAUGGCGUGUUGAUGGCGUGUUGAUUGCGUGUUGAUGGCGUGUUGAUGACGUGUUGAUGGCGUGCUGAUGGCGUGUUGAUGACGUGUUAAUGGCGUGUUGAUGAUAUGUAAUGGCAUGUGAUGGCGUGUUGAUGGCGUGUUGAUGGCGUGUUGAUGACAUGUAAUGGCGUGUGAUGGCGUGUUGAUGGCGUGUUGAUGACAUGUGAUGGCGUGUGAUGGCGUGUUGAUGACGUGUUGAUGGCAUGUUGAUGACGUGUGAUGGCAUAUUGAUGACGUGUUGAUGGCGUGUUGAUGACGUGUUGAUGGUGUGUUGAUUGUGUGUUGAUGGCGUGUUGAUGACGUGUUGAUGACGUGUUGAUGGCGUGUUGAUGACGUGUUGAUGGCAUGUUGAUGACAUGUAAUGGCGUGUGAUGGCGUGUUGAUGGUGUGUUAAUGACGUGUUGAUGGCGUGUUGAUGGCGUGUUGAUGGCGUGUUGAUGGCGUGUUGAUGGCGUGUUGAUGACAUGUAAUGGCGUGUGAUGGCGUGUUGAUGGCGUGUUGAUGGCGUGUUGAUGACGUGUUGAUGGCGUGUUGAUGGCGUGUUGAUGACGUGUUGAUGGCGUGUUGAUGACAUGUAAUGGCAUGUGAUGGCGUGUUGAUGGUGUGUUGAUGACGUGUUGAUGGCGUGUUGAUUGCGUGUUGAUGGCGUGUUGAUGACGUGUUGGUGGCGUGUUGAUGGCAUGUUGAUGACGUGUUAAUGGCGUUUUGAUGACAUGUAAUGGCGUGUGAUGGCGUGUUGACGUGUUGAUGGCGUGUUGAUGACAUGUAAUGGUGUGUGAUGGCGUGUUGAUGGCGUGUUGAUGACGUGUUGAUGGCAUGUUGAUGACGUGUUGAUGGCGUGUUGAUGGCAUGUUGAUGACGUGUUGAUGGCGUGUUGAUGACAUGUAAUGGCAUGUAAUGGCGUGUUGAUGGUGUGUUGAUGACGUGUUGAUGGCGUGUUGAUUGCGUGUUGAUGGCGUGUUGAUGGCGUGUUGAUGGCGUGUUGAUGACGUGUUAAUGGCGUGUUGAUGACAUGUAAUGGCGUGUGAUGGCGUGUUGACGUGUUGAUGGCGUGUUGAUGACAUGUAAUGGCGUGUGAUGGCGUGUUGAUGGCGUGUUGAUGACGUGUUGAUGGCAUAUUGAUGACGUGUUGAUGGCGUGUUGAUGAUGUGUUGAUGGCGUGUUGACGUGUGAUGACGUGUUGAUGGCCUUUUUAUCACGUGAUCGGUCUAACAGACCGGUCAGAAUCUGUCAGACUGAUCACGCCAUCCGGUGGUCUCUGGAGGAUGGAGUCCAGGUUCCCGGUUCAUUUAACAGCUCCCUCACUUCCUGGUCUCUAAGGCCUCCUUAAUCCAUGGUUUGUGUUUGUUGGUCUCUGAUGUUAAAUCCUCCCCCUGUCCCAGUCCAUGAUGUGCUUGUUUCUUUUACAGUGGUCCCUGAUGGCUGAUUUUUUUGUUUGCUUCAUCUGCUUUUUCUUUUUAUCUUCUUGUGAGUCGUCCAGCUGUUUCCUUUAUUCUGUCUGCUGUUCCUUUCUUCUUGUGUUGAAUGAUCUUCCAGUUUCUCCAGUGUAUGUUUUAUCACAUGAUUUACACGGAGUUUCAUAUAUGAUGCUGCAUUUUUUGUCUUUUGGAUGGACUAAUAGCUGCUGCAGUUUUCUAUGUGGUUCUACUGCUGUGUUGAUGUUGUGUUUUCUCAUUAUGGGAUGUAUGGGUUCUGUUGUCCCUCAGAUAUAUGGAAUGCUGAUUAUGUCUUCAUUUUUAUUGUCUGGUUUUUGUGUAUGUUUUGUUUUUGUUUGUUUUAGUUUUUUCUCUUUGUUUUUGGCUUGUUGUUUUCCUUUGUUUAUGGCCCAUAUGGGAUAUUGGUAGUGUGUGAGUGAGUUCUGAUGUCUUUUUCCUCCUCCUUUCUGUCUUUAUCAUCGGUUAUGAUGCUGGUCUGUUCUAAUAGUGUUCUAACUGGUAGUUUGUGUUCUGUGGAUGUUCUGAUGUCCAGAGGAGGUUCUGGUCCGUUCUAAUAGUGUUCUAACUGGUAGUUUGUGUUCUGUGGGUGUUCUGAUGUCCAGAGGAGGUUCUGGUCCGUUCUAAUAGUGUUCUAACUGGUAGUUUGUGUUCUGUGGGUGUUCUGAUGUCCAGAGGAGGUUCUGGUCCGUGUGUGUGGGUUUCCUGUAAACUGUUAUUUUGAUGCUGCUGUCUUCUCUGUGGUGAAUGUUCAUGUCCAGGAAUGAAAUGGUCCGGUUUAUUUCCUCUUCGUGUGUGGAUUGUAUGUUUCCCGUGUCGUCCAUGUUGUUCAGAUGAUCAGUGAGUUCUUGUGUGUGUCCAGAUUUUAUUAUUUCCAGGAUGUCGUGGACGUAUCUUCUCCAGAGUGUGGGUCUGCAGAGUGGGGAUGGCUUUGGUUUCCAGGUCCUCCAUGAAAAAGUUACUCAUUAUGGCUGAAAGUGGAUCUUUUUUUCAACUUUAUUUUACCAGCAUUAAAACCUUGUCUGCAGAGAGAAAAGAACGACUCCGUUUUUUGCCAGACUGGAGGAUGUUGGAGGGAGUCUGUUAAUCUCUCUGGACCUGACAUUUGAAAACCUCCACCUCUCCUCACCCUCCCAGCCCACUGAUGUGAGGAAAUCCAGCUCUGAACAGACUGAACUCCUAAAUCCCUCCUGGAAGCUUCACCCUGAACAGACAACUGCAACGCCGUGGUAACGGGCAGAUUACAGGAGACCCCACACACCCAUCCCACAACCUGUUCAGCCUGCUGCCAUCAGGGAGGAGACUGAAGAGUCUGAGGACCAGGACCAGCCGACUGAGCAACAGCUUCAUCCACCAGGCUGUCAGGAAGCUGAACUCUCUCCCCUCUCUGCCCUCUCUACCACCCCCUUCCCCCACAUACACAAACUCUGGUCAAUAACCUCUGACCUGCACUGUAAUAGCACAUUCAACCAUCAAGCAUAUUUGCACUUCUUGGACUGUUACUUAUUUGCACUGUUCUGAGUAUUCUGCACUAAAAUCCGUCACUUUAUCUCAUAGUCAUGUUUACAUUUCACUCAGUUCUGCUUUUCUUAGUUCUUCGUUGUUGCUCAGCUCUAAUUUUGCUUCCUUUGUUCUUUUUUGCCCUUUAAUAUCUUAUUUUCUAAGUCUUUAUUUAAUGUCUACUGUUGCACGAAGAGAGAAGAGCGAAAUUUCGAUUCUUGGUAUGUCAUGUACAUAUUGAAGAAUUGACAAUAAAGCUGACUUUGACUUUGAAAUCACUGAAAACUGUUCAAAAUGAAUCCAAAUGACUUGAUUUGCUCAAAAAAGUGGAAUCUUUGUGCAAAAUGAUCCAAAAACUUUUUCUAAUUGACUAAAUUGUAUAAAAUUACCCAAACAUUUGCCCAAAAAGAUUCAAAAUGUAUGUGAUAAGUUGAUGUGAUCUUCUUGUUAAGCACAUUUAACUUCUAGAAUUAGGGUUAGGGUUUUAGGAAUCUAACGUUCCUAAAACUGAUUUAAUGGUUAAAGAUAGAUGCAUACAAAUAUAUUUUCUAAUAUACGCGAGUUUGCACACUGUAUGCAAGUAUUUUUGCUCUAUAUUAAUUCUACAUUACAGGUUGUUUACAUUUUUAAAAACAUUUUUACAUACGUUGUUUUACAUACAAUGUCUUUGACAUGUUUUAGUUCUUCAGUGAACAGUUUUUAUGUCUGAUCUUGUUGUUGAAUCAGUUUUAGACAUGUUUAACUUCUAGAAUUGAAAAGAAAAGAGUCUAAAGAACCUUUCCUUAAACUGAUUUAAUGGUUAAAGAUAGAUGCAUAUAAUAUUUUUUUUGUCAAAUUUAUGCCAGUUUGCUCACUCUGUAUUAGUUCUAGAUUACAGGUUUUCUACAUUUCUGCACACAGAAUCUUCUCUCUAAUGUCUUUAACACAUUUUAGUUCUUCUGUGAACAGUUUUUAUGCCUGAUCUUCUUGUUAGAUCAGUUUUAGACACGUUUAACUUCUAGAAUUUAAAAAAAAGAGUCUAACCCUAACAAACUGUCCUGAAACUUGUAAAAUGAAUAAACAGAGUGAUGGACUGCAGUUUGUUUUAUUUUCUGUUCAGCUGAAUCUCAGUUGAAUCCUGAUUUCUGUGCAUCAUAAAGAGAAACAGUUUAUGAUAAA